rnacentral:lncRNA from 1 species
UUCCCCUUCCCCUCCCCUGGUGACCGAAAAAAAAUAAAUAAAUAAAUAAAUAAAUGACGAUAUAUAAAGUAAUUGUCAAAAAAUCAUAUAUAUAUUUUUUUUUUAAUAUAGACAGAAAUAUUUUGUUUGUUAUCGAUAAACUGUGAUCGGAAAAAAAGAAAAUGGAAAAGAAGAAAAUAUAGAUCGAAAAAUCCUGAUUCAGAAAGAUAAAUUGGUGGAAACGAUGAAAAUGAGAGAGAGAGAGAGAGAGAGAGAGAGAGAGAGAGAGAGAGAGAGAGAGAGAGAGAGAGAGAGAGAGAUAUAUAUCGAAAAAUCACAAAAAAAACUUACAUAUUGAAAAAUUAUGAAGAUUUCUUUAAUAUUAGCGGAUGAAAAAAGAAUAAAUAGAUAAAUAAACAUAUACUUCCUUGAAAAUCAACAACUUAAAACUACAAUAACCAGUUUGAAUAUAUAUGAAACAGAAGAGGAAAGAUUUGACGCGAUAGGAAGCAAUGGAGAGGCAGGCAGGGAAGGUUCAGAAUACGCGACACGUGGACCUUAUGAUAGACCGCUCUGUGUUGCUGUUCCGCAUCUCACAGCACAACAACGAGGCUCUCAAGAUCUUCCUCAACCUAAACUGACCGCUCACACACCGCCUCGUACGCGUCAACUCUUUAUACAAGUGUGUGUGUGCCUGUCUGUCUCAACCUAAACUGACUGCUCACACGCCGCCUCGUACGCGUCAACUCUUUAUACAAGUGUGUGUGUGUGUGUGUGUCGUGGCCUCACAGACUAAAUGCCCACCUUCUCGUGCUCGUCAGCUCUUUAUACAGGUGUAUGUAUGUGUGUGUGUGUGUGUAUGUGUGUGUCUGUCUGUCUCAAUCUAAACUGACCGCUCACACGCCGCCUCGUAUGCGUCAACUCUAUACAAGUGUGUGUUUGUGUGUGUCGUGACCUCAUAGACUAAACGCGCACGAACCACCUACAUCAGCGCUCUAUACAGGUGUGUGUGUGUGUGUGUGUCUGUAUCAAGGCCUCAUAGACUAUAAACUCGAAAUAUAAAAUAAUACAAAGGCAACAGCAGAGAUAAUGAGCUUCCUAAUAAGAUUCCCUUCAGAGAUAAGUCACGAGAUAAGAUUAUGAAGCUGUGGUGUGUUUCCUUGAUGAUGAUUGAUUAAUAUUCCCUGAACUGCGAGAUAGAUAAGAUGAGGUCAUUUGAGAUUGUUCAAGAUAGUUUCCGAUGAUAAAACUUGGUAAUAUUUAUAAGAGAGAAAGAGAGAGAGACUUCUUACUACUAUUUCAAAGCUACAAUAAAAAAAAGAAACAGAACUAAUGUAAGAUUUUUUACUUGAAGACAUGAAACAUUUUUUUUUUUUUUUUUUUCCAGAAGUUAUGGAAGUGAUGAAGUUCAGAGCGCGAAAAUACAAAAAUUGAUGAAGUGAAGAAGGAGGAAGUUUUCAAGUUACGAACACAACACUGACACAUACCGCAGAGAGUUACGAGAGGGCAGUUAGAAGGAAGAUUAGGAGUUAGGGAAAGGAAAAUAGAUACAAGAAGGUGACUUUACGAUGAUACGAAGAGAGUUAAUGAUUUUUAGUUACAACAAAAAAAGUUAUAAUAGAAACAACAACAACACGAGAGCGCAGUUACAUAGAGGAAAGAUUAGUAGUUAGGAAAAAGGAAAUAAAUAUGAAAAAAAGUUAAUGAUUUUAUGCUCAGGGUACAGAAAAAAGUUAUAAUUGAAACAGCACUAACACACCACAGAGUUACGAGAGCGCAGUUACAUUGAAGAAAACAGCUAGAAGAAAGAUUAGAAGUU